AGAAAAUCUGCUAAAGGAAAAGAAAAGAAACAGAAAAGAAAAGAGGAGAGCGCUAAGAUGGCAGCAGCGAUAGCAAAAGUGGAAGCUGCUAAUAAGAUUGAAGAUCCUUUAUCUAUGCUGGAACCAUUUAAAAAGUUUGAAAGAAACGGGUAAGUUUCUU
rnacentral:lncRNA from 1 species